AGUCUUGGCUUUGGAACUUGGCCUAAGUGCGUUGGCAUCCUGACUCCUUGAGAAAGAGCCCAUCUAGCAUCCCUCUCGCCGUUGCUUCCAGCAACAUGGCCCUUCUUCCAGCUUUAGGUUGUCCUAAGCGCUUCCAGCUGUCUAGGUCACACUCUGUGGCAUGUCGGACAAUGGCCUCUAGUUCCCUCCAUGUUGCUGCAGAAGACAUGAUUUCACUGUUUUUUAUGGCUGAGGCUUCCCAUUGCUUGAAGCCAACCAGAAGACAGAAGACAAGGCUUCUUGUUGGUUUGAUCCAUGAACCUGGACACAGAACAAGGGGAGGACAGAUGGAGAACAUCCCUGGAGGCCAUCUUGAAGGACUCCAGCAUCAUUUCGUGUGGAGCCCUAAGGAGUUAAAGAGAAAUUAAAGAAUGGGCUUAUCUGGGGUUGAGAGAAGCAAAUGUUCUGAGAAAUGGGGUCAACUGCAAAAGGCCCACUAGCACCUAGUGCUCAGCUCACAGCCCACCUGCACCCAAGCAUCUUGUCUACAAGCAUUCAGCUCACAGCUCACCUGCACCCAAGCAUCCUGUCUGCGAGCAUUCAGCUCACAGCCCACCUGCACCCAAGCAUCCUGUCUGCGAGCAUUCAGCUCACAGCCCAUCUGCACACAAGCAUCUUGUUUGCAAGCAUUCAGCUCACUGCCCACCUGCACCCAACCAUCCUGUCUGCGAGCACUCAGCUCAAGCAGCACCACCUUAUAAAACUUUCCCUCCAGCCCCUGCCUCUUUGCAGACAGCAGACAACCCUCCUUCUGCUGUCUUACCCAUUGCAUCCUUGCAAUGCAUGUCCCCCUUUCUUUAAUAAA